UACGUAGGGGGCAAGCGUUGUCCGGAUUUAUUGGGCGUAAAGAGCGUGUAGGCGGCUUGGUAGGUCCGCUGUGAAAACUCGAGGCUCAACCUCGAGAUGUCGGCGGAAACCACUUGGCUAGAGUCCGGAAGAGGAGAGUGGAAUUCCUGGUGUAGCGGUGGAAUGCGCAGAUAUCAGGAAGAACACCAACGGCGAAGGCAGCUCGCUGGGACGGUACUGACGCUGAGACGCGAAAGCGUGGGGAGCGAACAGG
rnacentral:rRNA from 1 species